GUGAUAAUAAAAUGAUUAUGAAUCUGAGGUGAUAAAUGAACUCAAGCAAUGAUUGUGAAUAUGAAAUGAUUUAUUGAAAUUGCUAUGAUGGAUUGAGUUCAUAAUGGAUUGAAUAUGUUCACACUGGAUUGAACAAGAUGACGUAAAUGUGUACGUGAUUUAUGUGAUGACGUGAAUUAAAAUAUGUUAAUCACGUAAAGUGAAAUAACGGAGGGAAAUGAUGAACAGGUUGCCCUGUAUGAGUGGUUCAACGGCCCCUUACAGGUUCUCUGGUUACUAUGCUGAUUAUUCUGUUACUGUCUUCCUUCUAUCUUGUUGUGAUCCAAGUAGAAGGGGUGUUGUAAUAGCCCAUAUUUUUAAGCAUGUUUAAAUUAAGUAAUUGUGUUUAUUAGUUUAACUAAACUUUAUAUUAAACAAAGAUUAUUAAGAAUUAUUAUUUUAAAUACAAUUAUGAUGGUGUGGAUUUUAUCAAAUUGAUGUAUUUAGUAAAUGAUUUUAAGUUUAAAAAGAAAAAUAAAAAGAAAACCCAUUUGUUAUUUCGUGGCUUAAUAAGAAGUAGCCACAAAUCAAAUUUGUUGUCAACUUCUCAUACAUUCUUUGACACAUAAAACCCCAGCUUCCUUCUUCACUCAAAACCCAAAAAAAAAAAAAAAACCCAAAAUCUCUUCACUUCUCACCUCUGUACUGUCCAUCGAAUUCAAGCAACAUUCACUCGUUUUUUAGUCUUUGUUCCUUCAUCAAAGUUGUAGAUCUCUUCGAGAUAUUGAAUUUAGGCUCAAACAUUUCUUCAAUCGGAGUUCGAAGCUAAGAGUUAUGCUCUCUGGAAGUUGUAGUUGUUGCUGCCACUGUUGCAGCGUUUUUCUCUCUCCUCUGCUUUCGCGGUGGUGCUGCCAUUGUUGUUAAGCUUGCUCAGUUUGAAGUUCAUUCAUAGAAUGGUUGUUGAUUAUGUUAUUGUGUUGGGUGAAUUAUGUUGGAGUUCGAAUUGGAGUUGAAGAUCAAGAUUAUCAUAAAUGUUUAUGGAGAUUGCAUAUAAUUAUUCUUGAGUUUGAGGUAACCUUUAUGUUCAGCAAACUGAAUUUACAUGCCCAUGUUAUAUUGUAUUUUCGAUAUCAUACAUUGUUUAUAGUCAUGGUCAUGGUUAUAGAUGCAUUUACAUGUGUGAGUUAUGAAAUUAUAUUGAUUAAUGUAAAGUAUGUUUGAUUUAGUUAUUGGAAUUGUUCGGAAACUAUAAAGUAUUCUAGAAAUGUGAUUUGAGUAUGAUAAUGAGAAAAUAUUUUCGAAAUGAUUUUAGCUGGCUUAGUUUAUGAACUGAGAUGAAUAGUGGGUAAGGUACAGGUGGAGUAAAAUGAUUCGUAUAUGAGUUAAGACCAGAUAAGGUCGAAUAUUAUGUUAAGUUAUGUUAUAAGCCUGUACUUGCCAGCAAUUUAUGUAAUGUGAUUAAGCUAUGCCAGCGAUAUAUUUAAAAGAUGAAUUAUUUCCGAAUAAUUACCAAGUUGUUUCUGAUAUGAAAAAUGUUUACGAACCAAAACCGUUUUGACGGGCUGAAGUAAAGUUACUGAGUUUUUCGCUCAUUUUAGUUUUGUUUUUAUUUUGUAUUUUCUUCUGUAAUUUGCAGGUUUGUAUUGGGAGCUUAUAGUAGAUCGGAAGUAAAGAAUUGGUUAUUGAAUUGUAGAUAUCCUAGUGAUUCAAAGGUUGUAUUUAGAAGUAUUCAAGCUCUUACUUGAAGAAUUUAAUAUUCUAUUAUUUUGGGAAUAAAGUAAAUUGUAAUCUGUAAUUGGUCGUGAAGUUAUUAUGUUGUGGGCCCAUAACCCACAGGUCCAGGAUCGUGUAUUGAAGGUUUUGUUCCGCUGCAAGAUAAUGAAUGUAAUUCGAGGUUAUUAAGUGUUAAUUGAGUUUUAUGAAUAGUAAGUAUGUUUAGCUAGCAGCUCGGAAGUGCGGGCUGUUACAGGUGUGCACACUAGGGACUCUGUUAUUAUGGCCAUUAUGCUUUUUCGUAGGUGGUUACAGGGGGUUUCCCCGGCCUACAAGUAGGUGGUUACAGGGGUUGCCCCGGCCUACUAUGUUGAAGUAAGUGGUUACAGGGGAUUGACCCCGACUUACUGGUGUUCUCUUUCCUCUCCUUGAAUAACUGGAUUAAUUGAAUUAAUGAAAUGAUUAUUCAGUGUA